rnacentral:rRNA from 1 species
UGGGGAAUAUUGCACAAUGGGCGAAAGCCUGAUGCAGCAACGCCGCGUGAGUGAUGAAGGCCUUCGGGUUGUAAAGCUCUGUCUUUUGGGACGAUAAUGACGGUACCAAAGGAGGAAGCCACAGCUAACUACGUGCCAGCAGCCGCGGUAAUACGUAGGUGGCAAGCGUUGUCCGGAUUUACUGGGCGUAAAGGAUGCGUAGGCGGAUUUUUAAGUGAGAUGUGAAAUACCCGGGCUUAACUUGGGUGCUGCAUUUCAAACUGGGAAUCUAGAGUGCGGGAGAGGAGAAUGGAAUUCCUAGUGUAGCGGUGAAAUGCGUAGAGAUUAGGAAGAACACCAGUGGCGAAGGCGAUUCUCUGGACCGUAACUGACGCUGAGGCAUGAAAGCGUGGGUAGCAAACAGGAUUAGAUACCCUGGUAGUCCACGCCGUAAACGAUGAGUACUAGGUGUAGGAGGUAUCGACCCCUUCUGUGCCGCAGUUAACACAAUAAGUACUCCGCCUGGGAAGUACGAUCGCAAGAUUAAAACUUAAAUGAAUUGACGGGGUCAUAGC